rnacentral:rRNA from 1 species
UGGGGAAUAUUGGACAAUGGGCGGAAGCCUGAUCCAGCAACGCCGCGUGAGGGAUGACGGCCUUCGGGUUGUAAACCUCUUUCAGCGGGGACGAAGCACCGGUUGAUGGUGGUGACGGUACCCGCAGAAGAAGCACCGGCCAACUACGUGCCAGCAGCCGCGGUAAUACGUAGGGUGCGAGCGUUGUCCGGAAUUAUUGGGCGUAAAGGGCUCGUAGGCGGUUUGUCGCGUCGUGCGUGAAAUCCAUCAGCUUAACUGGUGGCCUGCGUGCGAUACGGGCAGACUAGAGGUAUGCAGGGGAGAACGGAAUUCCUGGUGUAGCGGUGAAAUGCGCAGAUAUCAGGAGGAACACCGGUGGCGAAGGCGGUUCUCUGGGCAUUACCUGACGCUGAGGAGCGAAAGUGUGGGGAGCGAACA